CCCCUCUCGGGUUACCGAAUUCAGACAAACUCCGAAUGCCAAUUAAUUUAACUUGGGAGUCAGAACAUGGGUGAUAAGGUCCGUGUUCGAAAGGGAAACAGCCCAGACCACCAGCUAAGGUCCCAAAAUAUAUGUUAAGUGGAAAAGGAUGUGGCGUUGCCCAGACAACUAGGAUGUUGGCUUAGAAGCAGCCAUCAUUUAAAGAGUGCGUAAUAGC
rnacentral:rRNA from 1 species